rnacentral:rRNA from 1 species
AUUGAACGCUGGCGGCAUGCCUUACACAUGCAAGUCGAACGGCAGCACGGGAGCAAUCCUGGUGGCGAGUGGCGAACGGGUGAGUAAUAUAUCGGAACGUGCCCAGUCGUGGGGGAUAACGUAGCGAAAGCUACGCUAAUACCGCAUACGAUCUAUGGAUGAAAGCGGGGGAUCGCAAGACCUCGCGCGAUUGGAGCGGCCGAUAUCAGAUUAGGUAGUUGGUGAGGUAAAGGCUCACCAAGCCGACGAUCUGUAGCUGGUCUGAGAGGACGACCAGCCACACUGGGACUGAGACACGGCCCAGACUCCUACGGGAGGCAGCAGUGGGGAAUUUUUGGACAAUGGGCGCAAGCCUGAUCCAGCAAUGCCGCGUGCAGGAUGAAGCU